rnacentral:tRNA from 1 species
UGCCAGAUCGUCUAAUGGUAGGACACUGGUUUCUGGUACCAGGUAUCUAGGUUCGAGUCCUAGUCUGGCAA